CUACAGCUGACGAGUCCCAAAUAGGACGAAAUACGCGUCCUGGAU
rnacentral:hammerhead_ribozyme from 1 species